UAAUUGCUUAUUGUUUAUUUAAUUUUUAACAGUUAAUAAAUUGAAAUUGUACAUUAAUUGGUAAACUAUACAUUAUAAAAGUCAAUCACUGACGCUUUUUUAUUUAUCCUAUUUUAUGUGUUUAGUUAAAAUAUUUGUACAUUCUGACCUGUCAGGAGAUCCUGCAUGUACAGUAAAUCCGAAAGCUGGCCAGACCCCUCCCCCUCCCCUCUCUGUUUCCACGGCAACCCUGUCAGGGUGGAGGAGAGAGCGAUUCACGUGAGGCUCGAGCAUCCCUCUCUCUCUCUCUCUCUCUCUCGACUGAUAGAGGUUGCGUUUGAGGAGAGCUCAUGCAUCACAUCUGAGCCGUCCUUCUCUCACUCGUCCUUCUCCUCUAAAGCAGGCGUUCAUGCCAACAUGGGAUGUGGGAAUUCCUCCGCCACCAGCACUACAGCAGGAGUUCCAGCAGAAGCUGCCAAGGAUGUAAGAACCUUCGCCGGAUGA
ensembl:lncRNA